ACGUUAACGAACGAGACCUCGACCUGCUAAAUAGUUCGGUUCAGACGUCAGUCUGGAUACGUGACUUCUUAGAGGGACUAUCGGUGUUUUAGCCGAAGGAAGUUCGAGGCAAUAACAGGUCUGUGAUGCCCUUAGAUGUUCUGGGCUGCACGCGCGCUACACUGAUGGUUGCAUCGAGCUUACAACCUUGACCGAGAGGUCUGGGUAAUCUUUUUAACGACCAUCGUGCUGGGGAUAGAUUAUUGUAAUUAUUAAUCUUCAACGAGGAAUUCCUAGUAAACGCAAGUCAUCAUCUUGCAUUGAUUACGUCCCUGCCCUUUGUACACACCGCCCGUCGCUAAUACCGAUUGAAUGGAUA
rnacentral:rRNA from 1 species